rfam:Oryza glaberrima chromosome 3 Oglab03_0109_4, whole genome shotgun sequence.
AAAAAGGCAAACCCUGGAUUUCCGUGUCCAACUUUGACUGUCCGUCUUAUAUAAAAAAAAUUAUAAUUCGUAUUUUUAUUGUUGUUAGAUGAUAAAACAUGAUUAAUAUUUUAUGCGUGACUUGUAUUUUAAAUUUUUUUCAUAAUUUUUUCAAAUAAGACGGACGGUCAAACGUUGGGCACGGAAACCAGGGUUUCUCUUUUU